rnacentral:rRNA from 1 species
UACGUAGGGUGCAAGCGUUGUCCGGAAUUAUUGGGCGUAAAGAGCUCGUAGGCGGUCUGUCGCGUCGGCUGUGAAAACUCGGGGCUCAACUCCGAGCUUGCAGUCGAUACGGGCAGGCUAGAGUUCGGCAGGGGAGACUGGAAUUCCUGGUGUAGCGGUGAAAUGCGCAGAUAUCAGGAGGAACACCGGUGGCGAAGGCGGGUCUCUGGGCCGAUACUGACGCUGAGGCGCGAAAGCGUGGGGAGCAAACAGGG